AAACCACCCGGGCGCAUACGCGGUGCGGCCGCUGCUUCAGGUCGGCGGGCUCCAGGGAGACCUGGGUGGGCAGCGUCGCCGUUUCUCCUUUCUUGGGCAGUAUUUUUCCCAGCGCCACGCGGAGGCUGGGCCAUUAUGAGCUCUGCAUUUCCAGGACCUGGUCACUAUUCAGGACACGGUUCCAGCGCAGUGCGCGUUAGCCAUGUCUCAGGGAUGAGUGACAUUCCAAGAUGUGGCCAUUGACUUCUCCAAGGAAGAGUGGGGAUUCCUGAACCCUGCUCAGAGAGAUUUGUACACAACUGUGAUGCUGGAGAAUUAUCAGAACCUGGUCUGGCUGGGACUUUCCAUUUCUAAAUCUGUGAUUUCACUGUUGGAGAAAAGGAAACUGCCUUGGAUAAUGGCAAAAGAAGAGAUAAGAGGCCCAUUGCCAGAUGUGCCAGGUGCAGAGAUUAAGGAGUUAUCUGCAAAGAGGGCUAUUAAUGAAGUAUUAUCGCAGUUUGACACAGUGAUAAAAUGUACAAGAAACGUAUGUAAGGAAUGUGGAAAUCUAUACUGCCACAAUAUGCAGCUUACUCUCCAUAAGAGAAAUCAUACACAAAAGAAAUGCAAUCAGUGUUUAGAUUGUGGGAAAUACUUCACUCGUCAAUCAACUCUCAUUCAGCAUCAAAGAAUCCACACGGGAGAGAGACCCUAUAAAUGUAACGAAUGUAUUAAAACCUUCAACCAGAGGGCACACCUUACCUAGCAUGAGAGAAUUCACACUGGUGAGAAACCUUACAAAUGUAAGGAAUGCAGGAAAACCUUCAGCCAGAUGACUCAUCUCACACAGCAUCAGACUACACAUACGAGAGAAAAGUUCCAUGAAUGCAGUGAAUGUGGAAAGGCCUUCAGCCGUGUCUCAGCUCUUAUAGAUCACCAGCGAAUUCAUAGUGGAGAAAAGCCGUAUGAAUGUAAGGAGUGUGGAAGAGCCUUCACUCAAAGUGCCCAGCUCAUUAGACAUCAGAAAACUCAUUCUGGAGAAAAACCCUAUGAGUGUAGUAAGUGUAAGAAAUCUUUUGUGCACCUGUCUUCCCUGAUUGAACAUUGGAGAAUUCACACUGGAGAAAAACCAUAUCAAUGUAAGGACUGCAAAAAGACCUUUUGUCGUGUGAUGCAGUUCACUCUGCACAGGAGAAUUCAUACUGGUGAAAAACCCUAUGAAUGCAAGGAAUGUGGAAAGUCCUUCAGCGCCCAUUCUUCUCUUGUUACUCAUAAGAGAACACACAGUGGAGAAAAACCGUAUAAAUGCAAGGAAUGUGGAAAAGCCUUCAGUGCGCACUCUUCCCUUGUUACUCAUAAGAGAACACACAGUGGAGAGAAACCCUAUACAUGCCAUGCCUGUGGGAAGGCCUUUAAUACUUCCUCCACACUUUGUCAACAUAAUAGAAUUCAUACUGGUGAAAAACCCUUUCAGUGCAGUCAAUGCGGGAAGUCCUUUAGCUGCAGCUCUCACCUUACUCGACACUGUAGAAUGUGUAAUGGAAAAUUUAGCAAAUAACCAAAACUCAAAAUGUUAAUUCUGAUUAUUCUGUAUCAUCACCAGUACUUUGUACUUUGAGUCUUUUUAAAUAUGCUCUGUUAGUUUGUAUGGAAUGAUAUUUCAUUGCACUUUUAAUUUAACUUAAAAAUGCCUUCCCUUGACUGUUGAUAUGUAUUUUUUGUGAAGUGUGUGUUGAAGCCUUGCAGAUUAUUUUUUAAAUUAGAGGUUUAUCACUAGGUAUAUCUCCUAAUGCUAUCCCUCCCCCCUCCCCCUAAUGUAAAUGACGAGUUAAUGGUGCAGCACACCAACAUGGCACAUGUAUACAUAUGUAACAAACCUGCACGUUGUGCACAUGGUACCCUAAAACUUAAAGUAUAAUUAAAAAAAAAAAUUAGAGGUUUUUCUUCGGGUGCAUUUAUGAGAGUUCACCAGAUUUUGGAAAUAUUUUCUAUUCUGUAACCUACCUUUUCAUUUACAUAACAGUGAUAAAAGCUUUAAGUUUGAUCACAUCCAAUUAAUCACAUUUUUUAAUAGUUAUGCUUUUAUUUGUUUUUCAGACAGGGUCUUACUCUGUCACCCAGGCUGGAGUGCAGUGGCACAAUCAUGGCUCACUGCAGUCUCUGCCUCCCAGGCUCAAGUGAUCCUCCCACCUCAGCCUCUCAAGUAGCUGGGACUACAGGCAUGUGCCACCACACCUAAUUUCUAUAUUUUUUGUAGAGACUAGGUUUCACCAUGUUGUCCAGGCUUGUCUUGACCUCCUGAGCUCAAGCAGUCCAUCUGCCUCAGCCUCCCAAAGUGCUGGGACUACAGACAUGAGCCAUUGUGCCUGACCUAGUUCUGCUUUUUAUGUUCUAAGAAGUAUUAUUUAUUCUAUGCUGAGCUUACAUAGAAUUUCUUCCAUGUUUUCUAUAGCUAUAGUGUAUUUUUACCUUUUACUGUUAGAUCUAUUUCAUGUUUUUAUUAUGGAUAAUGGAGGAGGUAAAGGUUGAAUUAUAUUUUCCCCCAUAUUAUUGACCCAUAGUGACACCAGUUUUGGGAGAUGUCUUUCAUUUUCGCCCUUACGUUGUUAUUGGCACCUUUUGCAAAAAUCAAUUAUUUAUCAUGAGUAUACUUCUGAAAUGAUCUGUUUCAUCAAUCUAUUUGUCUUCUCAGUAGUUCCACAUUGUCUUAAUUAUAGCUUUAGAGGAAGUCUUGAAAUUUGGUAGUAAGUCUUCCAGUUUUGUUAUUUUAACAAAUUUCUCUAGGCUGGGCAUGGUGGCUCAUGCCUAUAAUCCCAGCACUUUAGGAGCCCCAGACAGGAGGAUCACUUAAGCGCAGAAGAUCAAGACCAGCCUGGGAAAUAUAGCAAGACCUUAUCUCUACAAAAAAAUUUAGAAAUUAGCUGGGCAUGGUGGCACCCAUCUGUAGUCCUAACUGCUCAGGAGGCUGAGGUGGGAGGAUUGCUUGAGUCCAGGAGUUCAAGGCUGCAGUGAGUUGUGAUCACACCAUUGCAGUCCAGCCAGGUUGACAGAAUGAGACCCUGUCUCUUAAAAAAAAAAAAAAAAAUCCUGGUGAUGCUUUUCUGGAUUAAAAAAUAAAAUAAAAUAAAAAUUGGCCUCACUACUCUAGCUUAUUUGCAUUUUCUAAUAAAUGUUCAGAGUCACCUUGUCAGUUCCUACCAAAAAGCCUGUCGGUAUUAUAAUUGAGAUUGCAUGAAGUCUGUAGACAAACUUGAAGAGAAUUGACACUUAACAGCAGUGACUUCCAGUCUGUAACCUUAGCAUAAGUUCUAUUUGUCUCCUUUAAUUUUUCUCAGAAAUACCUGUAGUUUUCUGUAUAGAGAUCUUGAAUGUAUUUUCUUAAGUUUAUUAAUAGACAUUUUCACAAUAUGUAAA
ensembl:lncRNA ZNF542P zinc finger protein 542, pseudogene